GUCUGCUCCUCCUCCUCGCUCCGUCACACCUGUUGCCUAUCAUCAUGCAAACCAAACCCACCUGCCGCUGCCAUAUUUAAGCCCCAGGCUCGACAAGAUGAGAAGGAGCAGAGCUGGAACUUAUUUCCUCUUUAUACUGAGUGUAUAUAAUGAAGUGAGGGUUUACACCUCAGACUUUUACACAGGCCGGAUGAACAGAGAUGUGCAGGAUGUGUCUGAAUUGAAGAUAUAUCCGUUUGACACAAAGCAUCCUCUGCAGCCAACAAAGUGACACUCGCACACCUACCCUGACCUGUCCUGACCGGCCAGGACAGAGCAGGAGGAGGACAGCUCAUCAGACAUGCUGUAACAUCAUCGCCUGGCAACAGGGAGUACAAAUGUCCGCUUGGGUCCGGGCUGAGAUGAAGAUGUGACCAGCAUCAAAUACUGUGAGGACAGUCGCCUCAGCUGUAGCCUGGGCCCCAUCUUAUAUGUUAGUGCAGGGCUGCCACCUGCUGGUGGGAUAAACUUACUUCCCCUCUGUCCCCUGAGAACUUCAUAUCCAGUGAGGCACCACACGGAGGAAACCAAAUUACCAGUUGUCACAAACAUUUGUCACGUGUUGGACCCGAGGAAGUCAGUGUAGGUGGAAGGAAGUGAGAAUAUAUGCCAUGUAACCUGAGAACUGUGGCUGAGGGCGGUAGACCGUGGAGACUCCUGCUGGGAGAAGGAUGCAGGGAUCCACACACACAUGCAUCACACUGCAGGUGGUGUCCUGCAGGGCUCCAUGAAACAGCUCCUCGCUCUAACAAAUGCCAGAGGACGGCUCCAUUUGUUUCAUGUUCUUUUCGCUUCGAAGCCAGUUAGUAUAAAUUCCUACAAAACAAAGUUGCCGCCUCAACAAUAGUUGUUAAACUCACUUCAUCCUGGAGAAUUUAGAUUUAAUCAUAUCACAUGAUAUCACAUGGCACUUCACCAUCCCUGAUUUUUGUGCAAUCGAUGCACAUUUUCACAUAUUAUGCCUCAUUUGUUUGAUUCAUACAAAAAGUGAAAUACCUGAAGAAGGCCGUCUGUCUGAUCACACAGCCUGACCUUUAGCUUAGCUUAGCAUGAAGACUGUACACAGUCUGGAGAGGGGGAAAAACAACAUAAUUUAAAGCUUCAAGCAGAAUAGUUUCUGUCAGCAUCUUGUUAAAUUAUACUUUAGGUUUCACAAAUAACGUACUUCUUAAUACUUUGUCACAUCAGCACCACAUUAUCAGAACUAUCAGGACCGUGAAAAUAUUGUGUAAUAUGUCUAUUCUGACGAAAGAACCACACAGACUCGUGGGAAAUUGUCUUGUGGAGGAGGAAAGGUUUGGUGUUGGUGACAUCUGUGUGAUAUUAAAAGUUGUUUCGUAGUUUGUGAAGAAACAAAGAGAUUGUUUCAAGACUUUGGAUCCAGAAGAAGUGGAACUCCAGUGAGCACUGGCACUCCUUCCCUUAAGAACUUUA